UUUUUCACCUGGACACUAACUCAACGGAAACCCAAAACUCCAUUUGCCCUUGUCCCUCCCGGAACCCUAAUCUCUGCCUCGUCUUUCUCUUCAUCUUGGAAACCCAAAUCCUUGAAAGCCUAACCUCAUUUGCGUAAAUUUCAUUUCGUGGAGUUCCAUUCUUUUCGUUGGGUUAAUCAAUGGCUUGGUACAGUAUGUAAUCUGUUACAAUUUUCAAGAAUUUCAGAGGUAGCUUUCAGGAUUUAACAAGACACAGCCUGGAAGUUUCUGGAGUUACUAGUGAUUUUUGCUUGCCUCUCAACCUUCCAUUGAUAAAACAGAACAAAGAGGUAUUUUUUCCAUUUUAUUUUGUCAUACUUCCACUUAGAUGAUCAUCGUGGAUUCUUUUGGCUAAUAAACUGUCAUUCUGGACGUCUUUAAUCAUAGAAGAAUGAUGAGAUUUGGUUCUUUAUUUAUUUUUAUUGCUUUGGCUAAGAAAUAAAAUUUUCAUAUAGAGCACUUGUUUAAUUUUAUCUGCAUAAUCUUGUUUAACAAGUGUCUUAGUUUUGAGGAGAUUUUGAUUCAAUAUUCAGGGUCUUUUUCUGGCCUGGGUUUUCUAUCAUUGUACUUAUCUGGAAAAUACGAGCAUUUGACAAUA